CACCUUCGGGUGAGCGGCGGACGGGUGAGUAACGCGUGGGAACGUGCCCUUGGUACGGGAUAACUGAGGGAAACUUCAGCUAAUACCGUAUGUGCCCUUCGGGGGAAAGAUUUAUCGCCAUUGGAGCGGCCCGCGUUGGAUUAGGUAGUUGGUGAGGUAAAGGCUCACCAAGCCUACGAUCCAUAGCUGGUCUGAGAGGAUGACCAGCCACACUGGGACUGAGACACGGCCCAG
rnacentral:rRNA from 1 species